rnacentral:rRNA from 1 species
CCAGACUCCUACGGGAGGCAGCAGUGGGGAAUAUUGGGCAAUGGGCGCAAGCCUGACCCAGCAACGCCGCGUGAGUGAAGAAGUAAUUCGUUAUGUAAAGCUCUAUCAGCAGGGAAGAAAAUGACGGUACCUGAGUAAGAAGCCCCGGCUAACUACGUGCCAGCAGCCGCGGUAAUACGUAGGUGGCAAGCGUUGUCCGGAUUUACUGGGUGUAAAGGGCGUGCAGCCGGAGAGACAAGUCAGAUGUGAAAUCCACGGGCGCAACCCGUGAACUGCAUUUGAAACUGUUUCCCUUGAGUGUCGGAGAGGUAAUCGGAAUUCCUUGUGUAGCGGUGAAAUGCGUAGAUAUAAGGAGGAGCACCAGUGGCGAGGGCGGAUUACUGGA